GGAAGCUGAGGAGUGAUUAUUUGGUUCUCGGAUGCUUCGAGGGUGCCUCAUGUGGUAUGCGAUCAGUGCACACAUCCCAGGUUACAGCCUCAAUGAAUGUGACCAAGGACCCUGAAUCACAGUGGCUUAACCAAGAUGGAGGUUCACUCCUGUUUCACAAGAAAGUCAAAGCCAGUCAGGUGGUUCUUCUCUACAAUUUUCAGGGGCUCAGCCUCCUUCCAUCUUGUUGGUCUGACUUCCUUAGAGUGUGGCUUCCCUGCCAGUAUCCAUCCUGUCUCCUGCCAGCCAGCAGGGAGAGGAGAAGAGAACAAGAGGGCACAAACCUUCCUUCUUCUAAAGGCAGCCACUGUGCAUGGGCCUCACCUCCCCAUGAUCACAGCCUGGUCACAUGACCUCUGUUUGCUGCAAGGGAUGCUGGGAAAUGUAGUCUUCAUCCUGGAUGUCAACGCCCAGAUUUGUCACUCCUGAGGCCAAGGGGAGAGAGGACAUAGGAGAGAGUCACUUGUUCUGCCCACCCUUGCACACAUUCCUCCAGCAUAGCGUGACCCACUGCCUCAGCUCGUGUAGGACUGAGGGGGUUUGUGGGACACAGACCUUUCAAUUUUAAAACAAGGCAGUUCCAAACAAAUCAUUCCAGCUUGGCUGUAACUCAGAAGUUUCCCUGGAUGUAAGAUUUCUAGUGUUAAAACCAGGAAAGUUCUGGACAAACCUGGACAAGUUGGUCCCCUCUACUCUAGACACACUGGCUUCCUUUCUGCUCCUCCAGCAGGCCAAGCCAGUGCCUGCCUGUAGGGCCUUGGUAUCUGCUGUUACCCCUGUCUGGUAUUCCCUUUCUGCAACUCUAUGCAGUGCUCACUCCUCUUCUGUUGAGAAAAGGCUGCUCUCUGGGUGCCCCGGGGAGCCUGGUCUGCUGUACUCAGCACUACAGGCUCUGUGAAAAUCCCUCCAUGCUCUUCAUAGAAUGAGAUCUGUUCUUUCCACCCUUCUCUGCCCACUUCACUUUCAAAGUCCCUGAGGAGUUUUGAUUUUUAUUCUCUUCACCACUGAAAGAUACAUCUCUUUCCCUGAGGCUGUGGCUGGGCUCACACAUAGCCAGAUAAAUCUGAUAUUAAUAAUAACCUAAAUGAAAAACACGUAUUAAAUCCCAAGAUUAUGAUGUAGGAAGCAAGCAUUCUGAAGAGAUGUGUAAGCCUAAUAAAGGCCAAAGGAUGUGGAGUAAAAGGAAAUGUGGGAUGGAGAAACAUUUCAUGCAACAGAACCCCACCUCUUGGUGAGUUCAUUGGUACAAACUUUCUAGAAGGCAAUUGGCAAUUGCCCAAUGAAAACGCCACUCAUCUUUUAGUCCCAAAUUCCAUUUAUAGGCAUUUAUCCCUAGGAAGUAGAAAAAUAUGUAAAGAUGAAUCUCUAAGGAUGUUUAUAAGAAGAAAGUAGGAAGCCUAAAUGCUUGCUGGUGGCCCCCUGCCCUUCCUCUGGCGCUCCUCUCUCCCCAGUGGCUGGACACUUGCUACGUUUUCCCAGCCUCCCUUGCAGCGAACUGUGACCAUGUGACCAGAUUCUGACCAAUGCAAAGUAAUGAAAGUGUUGUGUGGCAUGUUUUGAAGCCUCCUUACGUCUGUCAUCUGCCUCAUUUCUUAGUUUUUUGUUUCCUCUCUCCUCCUUGGCCUAUGGAUGUGAUGGUUGGUGCUCUUCCCAUCAGUUUGGUCUGUGAAGGUGAGAUUCACAUCCUAGGAAGUGCAAAACACUUCACUGAACAAAAACAGGGUCCGUCAAAUUUUGCAUAAACACUAGACUGUCAAGCUCCAGCUUUGGUUUCUGUGAAAAAUACACUUUUGUCUUAGUUGAAGUUAGAGCUCUGCUAGAUGCAGCUGAAUCACAUCCUAACUUGAUUAAAACACAAAAUUCAUUGAAUACAUUGUGGAACGUCCAUAAAUACCAGUGCUAAAAAACAAUAAUGUUGAUAUGUAGAGUUCUCAUUGUCAAAAUAAGUCCAUAAAAUAUUGUUGAGUGCACAUGAGGCGGGUUUACAUCUGUAUGUAUUAAAACCACAAUUCCAGUUUCAUAAGACAAAAA
ensembl:lncRNA